UCUGGACGGAUGCUGGAGACGAACCUAAAGUUGAGCGCAGUGAUCUUGCCGGUGGUAAUCGAAUAAAACUGGCCACUACCGACGUGGUCACUCCACGCGGAAUCACAGUGGAUUACGACACUGACCUAGUGUAUUGGGUGGAUUCCGAUCCGUCUGGCAACCGUGUCGAGGUCUGUGAUAUCCUUGGUGAAAACAGACGACAACUGUACCGUACACCUGCCUACGAGGGUUUCUUCGAUCUAACUAUCUUUACGAACUUUAUAUACGUUACUGGAGAAAAUACGAGCACCCUACACUUGUUGAAGAAGGACACUGGCCAGUUUGUUUUCAGCCUUAAUCUUCCAAACAGACCUUAUGGCAUCGUCACUUUCGCUCCCGAUACACAACCACCAGCAGUGUGUAAGUCAU